UACGAAGGGUGCAAGCGUUACUCGGAAUUACUGGGCGUAAAGCGUGUGUAGGCGGUUUGUUAAGUCCGUUGUGAAAGCCCUGGGCUCAACCUGGGAAUUGCAGUGGAUACUGGCGAGCUAGAGUGCGGUAGAGGAUGGUGGAAUUCCCGGUGUAGCGGUGAAAUGCGUAGAGAUCGGGAGGAACACCAGCGGCGAAGGCGGCAUCCUGGACUGGUCCUGACACUCAGGAGCGAAAGCGUGGGGAGCGAUCCGG
rnacentral:rRNA from 1 species